UCUGUAGCAAUGAAGGAGAUUAGUAUAAUCUGGAUGUCUUUUUAGAGAGGGAAUGGCCGCUGAGAAUUCCUAAGGCAAGGGUUAGAACCUGCUCCCUGAGCUCACUGUCGGAAAGGCUUCUAUGUUAUAAGGCAGUGCGGAUCGUAUCCGUUAUCAACAUAGAGUGUACGUAGUGUCAUUAUAUACGUAAACAAGGGUGGUACCACCAACCUCGGUCCCUUUA
rnacentral:ncRNA from 1 species